rnacentral:sRNA from 1 species
GACAAUGUUUACAAGACUUCAAGAGUUAUGUUUUGAAUGGAGGGGGCAAUAAGAUUACAGUACACACUUGUGCGGGUUUUACCUGUAUAUGCUUGUACUUUCUGUGACGGGCAGCCAUUACCAGACCAUCUUCUGUCCAUGCUGUAACCUCGAGUUCAUCACUAGGAAAUGUAUCUUUUUCGAUCACGAGACUGUGAUAUCUACCUACAAUGAAAGGGCUGAAACCAACAAGAUUUGUUUUAUUACACAUUUUUACAGACUUAUGAUUUACUAU